rnacentral:lncRNA from 10 species
UUUUCCUUGAGGAUGAAAAGCUCUUAACCUUGCACGUUUGGCUUCUUCUAUUCAAUUUUUUUAAAAGCAGAGAUAGGGAGGUAUGUGAUUAAUAGCAAAAGACAGCAUUUAAGGACCGCCAGGUGCCAGGUGUUCUAAACGUGCCAUGUAUUUUAGCUCACAGAAUCCUCCCCACAAAGCCGAGAAGCAGGAAGCAGCAACCCUCCCAGAUGAAGAAGCGAAGGCUCGGAAAAGCUAAGUAACUUCUCCAAGCUGACGCAGCUCGUGAGAGGAGGGACUGGGAUUCAAAUCCCUGCAGGGGGAGACCAGCAGCCCCGACUUCAGCCGCCAUGCCUCCUGCCUGAGAAGCUAGCUGCGAAGGUUCCAGAAGGAGACUGCCCUCCGGGAACAGAAACAGCGCAUGACUGCGACCUGUCUGCAAAAAUCUUGAUCACUUGUAAAUCCUUCUCCACCUGAUAAGUUAUCACAUUGGCUCAUGAUGUUUUUUUUCAUUCUCACCCUAUGGCGUGGAUGCUGUUACUACCCCAUUUUACAAAGGAGUAAAGUGAGGCCCAGAGAGAACAGUUAAAUCACUUCCCCAGCUUCACUCAACUCAUCUACGGUGAGUCGACG